AGUGGUAUUGUUGGAUCAUGUGGUUAGGUAUAAGUUUAACUUUAUAAAAUUUUGCUAAACUGUUUUUUAGAGUGGCUAUACCAUUUUGCAUUUCCAUCAGCAAU
rnacentral:pre_miRNA from 1 species